CCUGCCCCUGGAGGCGCUGCAGGUGUGGCUGCUGUGUCACAUGUGUGUCAGUAGGUACAGAGAGGACAGAGGCCAUGUCUACGCUCUGUAUUCUGACCCAUGAACAUCUGAAUGAUCAGGAGCCUAGCAUU